AUAGCACACGUGUGGAACGCGGCUGAGUGACUGUCACCAUGAGACCCUUAGCUCUGGCCUUGGAGGUUUCCUCAACCUGAGGCUGGGGCUUUGCAGGGUGGGCUGAAGAAAGCCUCUCUGCCUGGGCCUGACGUCUUGCCUAAUGAGCAGAAACACCCUUUUGGACUUAAGGAUCCUGAGCCCCCUGGCCACAAAUCACGAAGCAAAAGAAAUCAAGCAUUAAGGUUUUCCCCAGAUACUUAUUGACCGGAAUGGACUGGAAAUGGUUACAAAGGUAUAGAGAAGUUUGAAGCCAGAUAGACAGCCUUCAGCACCUAUACAGAGAACUGACCCUCUGACAAAGGAUUCUGCUGGAACAAGAGGUCAGGCCCAUCACUGCAGGCAGAGGCAUGCUGGAGGAAGAGGGGCAGAGAAGAAUUGUGAAGAUGCCGAGAGGCAGGCACGUGGCAUACCGCAAAUGGCAACUUACAGGAUGCCCUGGAGACUCAGGUUUUUCUUUAAAAGUGUGUCUGAGGAAGUGAGAGUGUGGCCCCUCCUUACCCGUUGGAACAGUUCUCCUCCAGGCAGGCCCAAGAAAGUUGUGGAAGGGCAGCCAAG
rnacentral:lncRNA from 1 species